rnacentral:rRNA from 1 species
AAACACCCCUCUUUUUGGGCCGCGCCCGCUAACGCCAAUUAAAGUUAUCCACCUUGGGAGGUACGGACCGCAAAGGUUGAAACUCAAAGGAAUUGACGGGGGCCCGCACCAAGCAGUGGAGGUAUGUGGUUUAAUUCGAAGCAACGCGAAGAACCUUUACCAGGUCUUGACAUCCACUUAAAGCCAUAGAGAUAUGGUGUGAGCUUGCUCGAAGUGAGACAGGUGGUGCAUGGUUGUCGUCAGCUCGUGUCGUGAGAUGUUGGGUUAAGUCCCGCAACGAGCGCAACCCUUAUUUUCAGUUACUAACACGUAGCGGUGAGGACUCUGAAGAGACUGCCGGGGACAACUCGGAGGAAGGUGGGGACGACGUCAAAUCAUCAUGCCCGGUUAUGACCUGGGCUACACACGUGAUACAAUGGCCACCACAGUGUGGGGCGGCCCGCAAGGGGGAGCGGAUCUCAAAAAAGUGGUCCCAGUUCGGAUUGUGGGCUGCAACCCGCCCACAUAAAGUCGGAGUUGCUAGUAAUCGCGGAUCAGCAUGCCGCGGUGAAUACGUUCCCGGGCCUUGUACACACCGCCCGUCACACCAUGGGAGUUGGGAGUGCCCAAAGUCGGUGAGGUAACCGCAAGGAGCCAGCCGCCUAAGGCAAGACCAAUGACUGGGGUGAAGUCGUAACAAGUGCCUAAUCUAGAGCACCGCGAGGUCCCUCUCGAUGAUGGCGUCGUCCCGGUCCUCCAG